GCACGAAACUUGCCCCGAGAUGAGUUCUCCCUGAGACUUUAGGUCUCCUGAAGGAACGUUGAAGACGACGACGUUGAUAGGCCGGGUGUGUAAGCGCAGCGAUGCGUUGAGCUAACCGGUACUAAUGAACCGUGAGGCUUAACCUUACAACGCCGAAG
rnacentral:rRNA from 1 species